GAUGAACGCUGGCGGCGUGCCUAAUACAUGCAAGUCGAGCGAACAGAUGAGGAGCUUGCUCCUCUGACGUUAGCGGCGGAAGGGUGAGUAACACGUGGAUAAACUACCUAUAAGACUGGGAUAACUUCGGGAAACCGGAGCUAAUACCGGAUAAUAUAUUGAACCGCAUGGUUCAAUAGUGAAAGACGGUUUUGCUGUCACUUAUAGAUGGAUCCGCGCCGCAUUAGCUAGUUGGUAAGGUAACGGCUUACCAAGGCAACGAUGCGUAGCCGACCUGAGAGGGUGAUCGGCCACACUGGAACUGAGACACGGUCCAGACUCCUACGGGAGGCAGCAGUAGGGAAUCUUCCGCAAUGGGCGAAAGCCUGACGGAGCAACGCCGCGUGAGUGAUGAAGGUCUUCGGAUCGUAAAACUCUGUUAUUAGGGAAGAACAAAUGUGUAAGUAACUAUGCACGUCUUGACGGUACCUAAUCAGAAAGCCACGGCUAACUACGUG
rnacentral:rRNA from 1 species